UUGAACGCUGGCGGCAUGCUUUACACAUGCAAGUCGAACGGUAGCAGGCCUUCGGGUGCUGACGAGUGGCGAACGGGUGGGUAAUGCAUCGGAACGUGCCCAAUCGUGGGGGAUAACGUAGCGAAAGUUACGCUAAUACCGCAUACGCCCUGAGGGGGAAAGUGGGGGACCGCAAGGCCUCACGCGAAUGGAGCGGCCGAUGUCAGAUUAGCUAGUUGGUGGGGUAAAGGCCCACCAAGGCGACGAUCUGUAGCGGGUCUGAGAGGAUGAUCCGCCACACUGGGACUGAGACACGGCCCAGACUCCUACGGGAGGCAGCAGUGGGGAAUUUUGGACAAUGGGCGCAAGCCUGAUCCAGCCAUGCCGCGUGAGUGAAGAAGGCCUUCGGGUUGUAAAGCUCUUUCGGCGGGGAAGAAAUCGCACGGGUUAAUACCUCGUGUGGAUGACGGUACCCGAAUAAGAAGCACCGGCUAACUACGU
rnacentral:rRNA from 1 species